UGGGGUGUCCAUUGUUCUUACAGCACUGAAUAUGGAGGUAAAGAAGUGUCAGGGUUUCUAUGCUCCACUUCUUGGACUCCGUCCUAAUUCUCCCAAUCGUCCCGAACGAAUCGCUGCCCUCCAGAUGCCUCCUCAUGCCUGCUGACUCUGCAAAGCUAUUCAGAAACAUCUUAUGGCCUGAGCUCAUUCCCAGCUAACAAAGUUAUGUUGUGAAGACGUGACGUGACUGGACCAUAUUCGUGGCAACGACAUAACCAAUUUACAUUCCAGCAACGUAACUUUGUGAUUCCCGUAUUCGUCGUGGCAAUGUAAUAGUUGUACAUUGUUCGAACGUGGAGAGUACGUCCCAAUGACUAAACAGCCUUAUUCUUCAAAAGGCAGAACUGUCCCAUCAUCACUGUCACCAUGGUGUUGCUGCUGUGGAGCCUGUCUCUGGUCUAGCUGCUGAAAAUGAAAAGUAUAUUUUAGUUUUACAGAAAUUAACUACACAUUGGGGUAGAUAUUAUGCUUACAAAUUACAAAUUACCUAAUUACAAAAACCGAAGCGCAAAAUCAAAAUUUUAGGAGCACAGCUGAAGUUUAGGUUUGUUUUAGCAACCGCACUAACA